rnacentral:rRNA from 1 species
GAUGAACGCUGGCGGCGUGCCUAAUACAUGCAAGUCGAGCGAACAGAUGAGGAGCUUGCUCCUCUGACGUUAGCGGCGGACGGGUGAGUAACACGUGGUUAACCUACCUAUAAGACUGGGAUAACUUCGGGAAACCGGAGCUAAUACCGGAUAAUAUAUUGAACCGCAUGGUUCAAUAGUGAAAGACGGUUUUGCUGUCACUUAUAGAUGGAUCCGCGCCGCAUUAGCUAGUUGGUAAGGUAACGGCUUACCAAGGCAACGAUGCGUAGCCGACCUGAGAGGGUGAUCGGCCACACUGGAACGGAGACACGGUCCAGACUCCUACGGGAGGCAGCAGUAGGGAAUCUUCCGCAAUGGGCGAAAGCCUGACGGAGCAACGCCGCGUGAGUGAUGAAGGUCUUCGGAUCGUAAAACUCUGUUAUUAGGGAAGAACAAAUGUGUAAGUAACUAUGCACGUCUCGACGGUACCUAAUCAGAAAGCCACGGCUAACUACGUG